GAAAUGCGAUACUCGGUGUGAAUUGCAGAAUCCCGUGAACCAUCGAGUCUUUGAACGCAAGUUGCGCCCGAAGCCAUUAGGCCGAGGGCACGCCUGCCUGGGUGUCACACAUCGUUUCCCCAACGCAAACAUGUAACAAUGUUGCUGCGCGGGGUGUCGUUGGACAAUUCAUCAUUAAUGUGACCUCAAAUCAGGUAGGACUACCCGCUGAACUUAA
rnacentral:misc_RNA from 1 species